UAGGGAAUAUUGGACAAUGGGUGCAAGCCUGAUCCAGCCAUGCCGCGUGCAGGAAGAAAGCCUUCUGGGUUGUAAACUGCUUUUGCCAGGGGAUAAAAACACUUUGCGAAGUGGAUUGAAGGUACCUGGUGAAUAAGCCACGGCUAACUACGUGCCAGCAGCCGCGGUAAUACGUAGGUGGCAAGCGUUGUCCGGAUUUAUUGGGUUUAAAGGGUGCGUAGGCGGUUCAUUAAGUCAGUGGUGAAAUACGGCAGCUUAACUGUCGAGGUGCCAAUGAUACUGGUGGACUUGAGUACUGAUGAGGUAGGCGGAAUGGACGGUGUAGCGGUGAAAUGCUUAGAGAUCGUCCAGAACACCGAUAGCGAAGGCAGCUUACUAAGGAGUAACUGACGCUGAGGCACGAAAGUGUG
rnacentral:rRNA from 1 species